rnacentral:rRNA from 1 species
GACGAACGCUGGCGGCGUGCCUAAUACAUGCAAGUAGAACGCUGAAGGAGGAGCUUGCUUCUCUGGAUGAGUUGCGAACGGGUGAGUAACGCGUAGGUAACCUGCCUGGUAGCGGGGGAUAACUAUUGGAAACGAUAGCUAAUACCGCAUAAUAGUAGAUGUUGCAUGACAUUUGCUUAAAAGGUGCAAUUGCAUCACUACCAGAUGGACCUGCGUUGUAUUAGCUAGUUGGUGGGGUAACGGCUCACCAAGGCGACGAUACAUAGCCGACCUGAGAGGGUGAUCGGCCACACUGGGACUGAGACACGGCCCAGACUCCUACGGGAGGCAGCAGUAGGGAAUCUUCGGCAAUGGACGGAAGUCUGACCGAGCAACGCCGCGUGAGUGAAGAAGGGUUUCGGAUCGUAAAGCUCUGUUGUAAGAGAAGAACGAGUGUGAGAGUGGAAAGUUCACACUGUGACGGUAUCUUACCAGAAAGGGACGGCUAACUACGUG